GCAUUGCGGCGGGUGAGGCCGCGCGGCGCGCGGGCCGGUGCUUGUCCGCGAGGAGGCAGCAGCCCGCCGGUCUGUGAGGGGCAUCUGCUCAGCGGGUCAGGACAAUACCUCACACCUGUGGAUAAAUGCUACCCUCAUUGGUACUGCUAAAAUCGUUGUAGCAGUGAGGUCCCUACAGAACACUCAAUGGAGAGCAGAAAAGACCCAUCAGAAGUAUGGAGAGCCACCAAGCCUGAUUAUUUUAAACAUUUCAUUUUCAUUUGUUUUUUGCUUAGAUAAUUUGAGCUGAAUGUUGAUACCAAAGCAUACACUUU